rnacentral:lncRNA from 1 species
CAUCAACGUCAGCCUUGGGCAAGUUCACAUCCACCUUGGGUCCUGAGACAACAACAUCAGCCUUGGGCAAGUUCACAUCCACUUCUGGGCCCUCUGCUUUGAAGCCAGGCAUGCUGAACUUGGGCAUUUUCAUCUUGGGCAUCUUCAGGUGCCAGUCUGGGCCUUGAACCUCCACAUCUGGGGCAUCAAUGUCCAUUUUGGGUCCUUUGAUUUCAACAUCUGGCACUUUCAUUUCACCUUCUA